GUUAAAUGAAGCUUGAGUAAUCGUCACUGAUUUCUCUUUAACCCUUUUUUAGAAGAAACAGAGUAUGUGUCUGAUUAUAACUAGAAAACACCAUCUUAGAAAGAAUUGUCAGAGUAUUACUAUACAUGUAGUUUUACUUUGUUUUAAUUCAGCAAACUUAGAAACACUAUGUGCCAGGCAACAAUUUUGGCAUGUUGUUAAAAUUCAGACUAUGACUUUCUGAGAUUUGGUAGCCUCAAAUCCCUUAAGACCAAAGGAAAUCAAUAAUUAACUACCACUUUUCUUUCAAAUAAGUGUCAAAAUGAGAUUAAGCCACUUUUGCAUUUUUUACAAGUGACAGUACUAGAACUUUAAAAUC
rnacentral:lncRNA from 1 species